UCCCGGUUGGCCCGGGCAGUCUCGUCUGAAAAAUUCAACAGACGACAAGGGUUGCGCUCGUUGCGGGACUUAACCCAACAUCUCACGACACGAGCUGACGACGGCCAUGCAACACCUGUCACUGCGUUCCCGAAGGCACUCAUCUAUUUCUAGUUGAUUCGCAGGAUGUCAAACCUUGGUAAGGUUCUUCGUGUAGCGUCGAAUUAAACCACAUCAUCCACCGCUUGUGCGGGUCCCCGUCAAUUCCUUUGAGUUUUAAUCUUGCGAUCGUACUCCCCAGGCGGCACACUUAACGCGUUAGCUUCUCAGCACAGGGGGUCGAUACCCCAUACUAAUAGUGUGCAUCGUUUACAGCGUGGACUAC
rnacentral:misc_RNA from 1 species